UACGUAGGGGGCGAGCGUUGUCCGGAUUCAUUGGGCGUAAAGAGCUCGUAGGCGGCUUGGCAAGUCGGGUGUGAAACUUACAGGCUCAACCUGGAGAUGCCACCCGAUACUGCUAUGGCUCGAGUCCGGUAGGGGAGCACGGAAUUCCUGGUGUAAGCGGUGAAAUGCACAGAGAUCAGGAGGAACACCAGCAGCGAAGGCGGUGCUCUGGGCCGGAACUGACGCUGAGGA
rnacentral:rRNA from 1 species